CGCCGCGCCGCCGCUCCCGCAGCCCCCGAGCCCCGCGAGCCCGAACGGCACAGAAACAAAAGUUAUCAUUGAAAACUUGAGAUGGAUCCCAAAAUCCUGGAGGAUGGAACAUUGUGCAGAGCCAGGAGUGAGGGAAGGAUCCCUGUGGGCUCUCAGGUAUUUUCAAAUCAAUAUUUUUCCUUUUCUUUCUUAUGUCAAUUCUUUAGAACUGGAAUAGAAUCCAAAUUACAAAAGGUUGGAAGGGGAGAUUCAUUCUGAAAUCAGUUUUUUGGGGUCUCUAUUUUUUUUUUUUAAGGGGAGCUACCCAACCCUUAAGAUAAGGACAAGUGACAUUUUCUAGAUAGUAAAUAUAGAUGUUUAAGUAACUUAAGCCAAAAAAAAUUUUAAAAAAAAGGAAAAAGAUGUGAAAGAACUAAUCAAGCAUCACACAAAUCCUAGAUUUUUGGGGGCAGAGAGAAUUCUGUAAGAAACUCCUGAAAAGGGGAGAGGGAAUUUUUAAUUCAAAAUUUCAGCCUUUGGAAGGGUGGGAAGAUAUUGUCAGAAAUUAAGGAUAAUUAAGAGGUGAGACAUUAAUCAGGGGAUGAUGAACUUUGUCUUCCCACUUGACUGUGGUUUUGUAAACACAAACCAAGCAAAAACAAUCACAAAAUUCUUGGGAAAGACCUUUAAGAUCAAGUCCAGCACUAAACCUUAUCCCUAAGAGACAUAAAGAUGAAAGAAAUACAAAGAAAUAAAUAAAUUCAGUGGGAACAUCCCUAUGUGGUCUUUACUUUCCUCCUUGAAAGGAAAGGAAAUGUUCCUUGUGCUGUGAUCCUCACAGAAAUAUGAAGAAGACAAUCAGAGGCAAUGGAAGGAGACAAAAAGAAAACAAAUACUUUUCAUUUAGAGGAAAAUAAAAAGGAAAAUACAUGAGUGUAAAAUGAAGGACGUGGAAAACAGAAGGCACUUAACAUUUCUCUUGUCUUGCAAUACAAAAAUAAGGAAACAAAGACCAAAAUUAAGGCAACAAAUGUAAAAAUGGCAACUUUUAAAAAACAGAAAAACAUCCUUGACCUGUGGGAAUUGCAACCUCCAAGCUUAAUAAGAUAUUUUAAAAAUGACUACAGAUAUCUACUUACACUACUGAGAAUAACAACAUAUAAAUCCAGGAAAAAAAAAGCCCUUAUUUGCCCAGCAAAUCAACAAUUAAUCUGUGUUUAAAAAGUGAAGUCUUCCUAUGGAUAGGUUGUUCCAUUUGCCCAUUUUGAGCCACUUCAGAUCUCCUUCUGGAGCAUCUGCUCCUCACUGUUGUUAGAUUGAUGAUCUCUAAUUCAAUUGAGUAUUGAUCCAAAAAUCCCUUUGCUUCUAAAAACACCCCCACUAUUAAGAAACACUUAAUAUUCUGACCUUUGCAGCUGGCAGUUAAGAUUUCAUGCCUGGAGAGAACAAUUUAUUUUUUUUUCCCCUCCCCUUCAUCCAUCCCCAAACACACCCAGAGUAAUUUUUUUUUUUUUUUUUGGGACAGCAGGCACUGAUACCUGGGAUUUGUUGUCAAACUGUUUAAUGGAAAGGGAAAGGGGGAACAGCUAUGAAAAUUUGAGCAAAGUUACUCCAUAUUCCUUAAAAUAUUUCUUGUUCUGUGUAUUUGAUUUCAUCCAGGUUGCUCAGGAAUAUUUCUCAGCCAUUUCAUAGCAGGAAUUUUAGGAGUUGGAAAGCUCCAAGAAAUUAAAUGUCUGUUUUUACAUCAAGUCCAUUUUUUUUUUUUUGCUGCUGACCAAGUGUCCCAUAAAGUCUUGUUUAAGAUAUUUUCACCUGGGUCACCACAAAGAUUUUUAAGUCACCCCCUCCCCAAACCUAAACCAAUAAAUUAUAAUUUUUGUAGCAACAAUAAAACAGCAUUUCUUGUGUCCUUGGGAUGCUUCCCAUGGAGAGGAGGGUGCUUAAUGCUCACACUGAAUUUAGCAUGAAGUUCUCAAGUUGUCAUUUGUUGGUCACCUGCAGCCUGGAAUGAAAAUGCUGCACUGUCUGGUCAUGAGGAUACAAGAAAGUUAUACAGUUUUUACACCACUAAAAAUAAAAUAGUGACUUUUGAACUGUCCCUGGGAAAGAUUAUAUAGCAUAGAUAUGUAUAUAUAUAUAUAUAUAUAUAUAUGGGAUUGUUGUGUAAGAAACAGGGGUUCAGCCAAACAUGCUUACAAAGCUGUAAAAAAGAAAAAAAAAAUAUAGAGAAUUUUCUAAGUCUACAGCCAUUGAGUCCCAUCAUCCCAAGAAUUGGAAAACCCCUCAGAUCUGUCCAAGGAAUGCAGAGCAGCAGGAGCCCAGGAGCAUCUCCUGGGUAAGAGAAACUCUCUAAGCAACAAAACCAAAUAGAAAUAAAAUUUCUUCAUCAUUGCUUCAUCUCUGUAGCCUGACUGUGGGUGAAAUGACACAAAUGUGGUGUCCAGAACUUCCACUGGUACAGUUUAAAAAAACUGCACAAGGAUUAUCCAACUCCUGGUCCUGCACCCCAACAAUCCCACCAUGUCUGGGCACUUUUGAGAGGUGUCAAAAUAUUUUUUUU